CGGCGUGCCUAACACAUGCAAGUCGUACGAGAAAGCCGGCUUCGGCUGGUGAGUAAAGUGGCGCACGGGUGAGUAACGCGUGGAUAAUCUGCCCUUAAGUGUGGAAUAACGUACCGAAAGGUGCGCUAAUACCGCAUAAUGCCUGGCAACACAAGUUGUCCGGCCAAAGAAGGCCUCUGUUUACAAGCUUUCGCUUCAGGAUGAGUCCGCGUACCAUUAGCUUGUUGGUGGGGUAAUGGCCUACCAAGGCUGCGAUGGUUAGCUGGUCUGAGAGGAUGAUCAGCCACACUGGAACUGAGACACGGUCCAGACUCCUACGGGAGGCAGCAGUGAGGAAUAUUGCGCAAUGGGGGCAACCCUGACGCAGCAACGCCGCGUGAGUGAGGAAGGUUUUCGGACUGUAAAGCUCUGUCGAGCGGGAAGAAGUGUACCAUGGCUAAUAUCCAUGAUAUUUGACGGUACCGCCAGAGGAAGCACCGGCUAACUCCGUG
rnacentral:rRNA from 1 species